rnacentral:rRNA from 1 species
GAUGAACGCUGGCGGCGUGCCUAAUACAUGCAAGUCGAGCGAAUGGGUUGAGAGCUUGCUCUCAAGAAGUUAGCGGCGGACGGGUGAGUAACACGUGGGUAACCUGCCCAUAAGACUGGGAUAACUCCGGGAAACCGGGGCUAAUACCGGAUAAUAUCUUGAACUGCAUGGUUCGAAAUUGAAAGGCGGCUUCGGCUGUCACUUAUGGAUGGACCCGCGUCGCAUUAGCUAGUUGGGGAGUGAACGGCUCACCAAGGCAACGAUGCGUAGCCGACCUGGGAGGGUGAUCGGCCACACUGGGACUGAGACACGGCCCAGACUCCUACGGGAGGCAGCAGUAGGGAAUCUUCCGCAAUGGACGAAAGUCUGACGGAGCAACGCCGCGUGAGUGAUGAAGGCUUUCGGGUCGUAAAACUCUGUUGUUAGGGAAGAACAAGUGCUAGUUGAAUAAGUUGGCACCUUGACGGUACCUAACCAGAAAGCCACGGCUAACUACGUGCCAGCAGCCGCGGUAAAAC